rnacentral:rRNA from 1 species
GACGAACGCUGGCGGCGUGCCUAACACAUGCAAGUCGAACGGAGUUAUGCGCUGAAACGGAGACAGCUUGCUGAGGAAGUUUCUUGUAUAACUUAGUGGCGGACGGGUGAGUAACACGUGAGUAACCUGCCGAAGAGAGUGGAAUAACGCCCCGAAAGGGACACUAAUACCGCAUAAUACUUUAGAAUCGCAUGAUUUUGAAGUCAAAGGAGUAGUCCGCUCUUCGAUGGACUCGCGUCCGAUUAGAUAGUUGGUGAGGUAACGGCUCACCAAGUCGACGAUCGGUAGCCGGGCUGAGAGGCUGAACGGCCACAUUGGGACUGAGACACGGCCCAGACUCCUACGGGAGGCAGCAGUGAGGAAUAUUGGGCAAUGGGGGAAACCCUGACCCAGCAACGCCGCGUGAGGGAAGACGGUUUUCGGAUUGUAAACCUCUGUCCUCUGUGAAGAUAAUGACGGUAGCAGAGGAGGAAGCUCCGGCUAACUACGUGCCAGCAGCCGCCGUAACAC